CAUUCCCAUAUUGAUCAAACAGUUCAGUUGAUUUACUGUUUAUUAAAGUGUCAUUUGUAUUUAUCAAAUUAAUAGAUCUAUGCAUAAGAUUUUGUACCUUACUUUCAUUCAAUAAAUCAGCUGAACUGUUUGAUCAAUAUGGGAAUGAUCACAAAUAUGAUCUUAAUCGAAAUUUCAAACGUAACACUUAUAAUGAAUUUUUAGGUGUAAAUGAUAAGUCUAUAAAACAUGCACAACAAUCAUACCAUAAGGAUGGGUUUAUAAAAUACGAGAAUAUAAAAAAAAAAAACAUUACUACUACUACUAGUAGUAGUACUACAAUAAAUGGUUUGAAUAAUGGUAUGGGAAAAUAUAAUACGAUUUCAAACGUUAAUAGUAUGAUUUAUGCAGAUGGAUCCGAUGGUGCAUGUGUGUCGGGAAAUGUGAGUAGUGUGAAUAAUGUUAGUAGUAUGAACGAUGCAGGCCAUAAAGUGAAAAUGUUAGCAAUAGAUUGUGAUGAUGGUACUACUAGUAAUACUGAAAGUAUAUGUACCCUAAAUUUAAGUGAAAUAAAAGAAUCUUGUAAAAAUCACAUUCCUCGUAUUAUAAGAUCAACUACUGACACAUUUUUACCAAACGGUUUUUUAAAUGAACAAUCUCAAAUUACGUUUGAAAAUAAUAUAACGAAUAGUGUUGUAGAUAUGUUUACUUCUUUUAUGAAAAUAAAUAUAGCAGCAUUAAAUAAAAACAUAAUUUUUGAUAAAAUAAAUGAUUCAGUAACCAGUGAAGUAAACAAAUCUGUUGAUAAUAUGCGUAAGACUUUUAAAAAUCAUAUGCGUGGAGAGUUAAAUGAUGAAAUUGACAAAAAUAUUAUCCUUUUAAAUACUAAAAUGAAUAAAAAUAUAAACAAAGAAGUUAAAGAUUGUAUGGAAAAUAUACAUACAAAAGUAAAUGAACAAGUAGAAAAAAAAAUAAAUAAAGAAUUUUUUAAAGAGAUGAGUAAUAAUUUAGAAGAUCUUUUAAUAAAAUAUAUGAAUAAAGAGUUAAAAAGAAAAAUGGAUAUAGUAAAGAGACAAUUGUGUGAUAAAUCUAAUGAAAAUAUUAACAAAGAAGUAUUAAAAAGUAUGGAUACAUUAAAUGAAAAUAUAAAUAAAAAUGUAAAUAGAGAAAUAAAAGAAAAUAUAAAAAUAAUAAAUCGUAAUAUAGAGGAAUAUUUAGAAGAUUCAUUGGAUAAAAAUACAAAUAUGUUAGUUAAAAAUAUUAGUGAAAAUUUAUAUGAAGAAGUAAAAUUUAGUUUAAGUUUGAUAGAAAAAAGUAUAGGGGUUCAUUUUAAUGAUUAUUUUAUGCAAUGUAAUUUUAAAAAUGUAGUACAAGAUGCAAGUUUUAAUUUAGCAGAACAAAUCACAGAACUUAUAAAAGUUUCACAACGAUCAAUACAAGGUGAUAUUAAAAAACUCGUUUAAUAAUGAGGUGAUAAAAAAAAUAGCAACCGAAUUAAAAAGUUGUAUUACAAAUACUUUAGCUAAUGACAUAACAAAGGAAAUAAAAACUGGUAUUACUAAUGAAUUAGCA
rnacentral:lncRNA from 1 species